AUAUAACUGUGUAUGAGUGUGUGACUGUCUGCCCGUGACUGCCUUUUACUGUGUUUUACUGCCUGUAACUGUAUGUGUGUGUGUGUGUGUGACUUUAUGCCCGUGACUCUUUGUGUAACUGUGUGUGCAUGUGUGAUACUGCCUGUAAUUGUGUGUGUGACUGUGUAACUGUCUAUCUAUGGCUAUGUACAUGUGUAUUUAUGUGUGCAUCUGACUGUGGGACUGUAUGCAUGUGACACUGCAAAAAUACAUAUUGACCUACAUGAAUUUAUUA